AGACAGAAGGCUGCAUGCUGCUGGCCAAGCUGAGGAGGUGGUAAGGACUCCUCUGCAAGAGCUUCUCACGAGGGCAGAGCUUAGCCAGACUGGAACCUGAAGGACCUGGGACUCUCCACUGGCUGCCUUGGUGGGACUCGAACUCCACGGCGUGGCCCAUCGCCCAUCAGAUAGUAUUGUAGGGGAUUGGACCACAGCUCCCCUUUGAUAAUUUCAGCUAUUCUGUCGAAUUCUAGGAGGCUGUGGUCUGAGAACCAGUUGAAGAAACUGGGAAUCGUGUUCCCCUCCCUAUUCCUGUGGAUGUGGGCCUGGGGUUCCUGACCCCGGUGCCAGCGGAUUGGCGUAGAGAGUGACACCACUCGACCUGAGGAUCUGCGCUCAUAUUCUUUGACCAGCCCCUCAUUUCGAAAGUAGGGGUUGCUUUGAAAGAUGAACUUAAAUUUGCACCCUACUCUUGGCUGCUUAAGCUCCUCCACCUCUAAAUUGAUCAUGUACCUCAUCAUGUCUUCAUCUUGGCCACUAAUCAUUGGUGACAGCUGGGGGUGGUUCCGAAAAGCGGUGACCCAGAAACCUGGGAUGUUUUGGAUGAUGAAACUUCUGCGCUGCAUGUGGAGCCUUCUCAUCCGCCCAAAUUUGCGUUCCAGCUGGAGGAAGGCCCUGUCAGCCUGCGCAUUUACAUUUGACAGCUCUUGAUCGAUGGCCUCCAGCGAGUCCAUGCAAUUGAUCUUCGGAGCUCUGGGUCGAGUCUCCUCUUUCCCUCCUCCAGCUACCUUUUUUUCCUUCUGUAACCCCUUCUUUUCCUGCAUUGCCGCUCCUGCUUCUCCCUCCUUGCCGGUGGCCACAGAGAUGGCGCACUUGGUAGUCGUCAUUUCCUUGGUCUUCUUCGGCCCCGGCAUCUGCUGAGACCCCAGGCCCACCGCACCACAGGCUUCCAGGGCUUUCGGUUUAGCAGGGCUGUGAGGCCCUUCAAGCUGACAGCCAUUUUUACUGCUGUCGUCGGCUGCCACAGGGGCUGAGGGUGCGUCCCCGCCCUUUGAUGGAGACGGAGCAUCCUCCAGACCUCUCGCUGCCGCAGCACAACUAUUCUCAGCCACUCGGAAGCAGAGCUCGGGGCCGCAGUGCUCGGAAUCCGGAGACGCGCCUCCAUCCGCACCGGCCUCACCUGCAGCCUCCAUCUCCCGCACUGUGUCGGUUUCCUCUUGGAGCCCCUGGUCCUGCUUCAGAUCCAGAUCUUCGGAGGCAUGGGAGGGGGUCGUGGUGUUAGCGAGAGAUAGCUCGUUGUUCCCUUCCACGCCGUUCAUUUUGGCAGCUGACAGCCCUGCAGAGCUUUCCUUGUCCUCUGCAGACGCAGCGCAAAACCGCAGUGAGUGCUUAGCUCCACCCCUUUUCCUUCUGGGCUGGUGCUACCAUGGCAACCUGUGACGUCAGGAUACCAGCUGCAACUAACCGUAGCGCGAGAACUGGCAAUCCAGGUAAUUUUGUCGAUCAAGUGUGUUCUUUUUGUCUUUUUAAAUGAUGCUGUAAAUUUAAUCUCAUCUGGGAAAUUGAGUACAUAAAUGGAUGUCGAAUUAUAUUUUACGUCUAUUCGUAAGUCUCUAAUUAAUUUCGACAGUAUCUAAACCAUGUCUCAAAAUAAAUUUU
rnacentral:lncRNA from 1 species